rnacentral:piRNA from 1 species
UGUGAUUCCCAAAGCUAUGCUUCUCUGGCC